GCUGGUGUAGCACAGUGGUUAGAGUGUUGGCCCAUGCACCGAAAGGUCAUGGGUUCAAUUCCCAGUCAAAGGCA
rnacentral:tRNA from 1 species